UGUGGUCGAUACCGUUGGUGAUGGUGGACGCAGCCUGGGGCGCCUAGUGGUGGUUGUGGGGGGCCGAUUCUGCAGGAGGAGAUUGUCAUGUGACCAUGGCCAGCACACAGACAGCAUGAAUUGCAGGUGGCAGGAGAGCAACUGGAGCAUCUGCUCAUGGCUACCCUCUACUCAUCUUUGCUGACACAGCUCGGACAGAUUUCAGCGUCCCCAGAGUGGUGAGGGGCCGGCCCUGGUCCCCAGGCUGCAGGACGCACUUCUGCUCUGCUCAGGGCUUUGCACUCAGCCCGGACAAGGAGGCCUAGGAGACCCUGCGUGACCCCAGCCUCCCUGCUCACCUCGGGGCCAGUACAGCUCGUCCUGAGGACACAGAGAGCUACAGGUGUAUGUGCGCCCAGGGCAGUGCUCGGCACAGCCCAGGACACAGCCUCCAAUACUCACACAGUCGGCGGUGGCCUUCACCCUGAUGCUGCGGGCAAGGAAGUCCCUCCCACUGUUCAGGCUGACUUCCACUGUGAUGUUCCUAAUGCACAGGAGGGACAGACAAGGGACCCGACCUAUGGGGACCAGGACCUCAUAGCUCUGCUCAGGACAAUGACUCUGAAAGUCACACAUUCAGGGUGACCAGGGGGAAGUCACGUGGGUCAUGAGAGCUGGUUCCCCAAGUCACUGUGAGGUCAGCCUCAGCAAGGGCUGCAGCUCAGGCAGUGAGUGGCCCUCACGGCGGAUGGUGCCAUCCUUGCCAUGGCUGAGGGACCAGGGAGGUCUGAACAGCAUCACUGUCCCACUUCUAUCACGUGCUGUUUGGUCCUAGCCAGGAAAGGUGACCCGGAGGAAA
rnacentral:lncRNA from 1 species